AAUCUCAAUCCCACCGGGUUUUAAAUGAAACGGCUUGGCGGAUGGGGUCUGGAUGGGUGCCUCUGCCUGCGCUACCUAGCACAGGCUCGCCCGAAAUGCAUGAGCGCCUGAGACACUUUGCAUCCGCCUCUCUGUUUGGGAGGAGGCGGCCAAGCAGUGUUUUUCUCCUGGCAUGGCAUGAUACGUCAUUUGCUAUGUCGCCUAAAGGAGGAAUGUUUGGUUGUGUCUGCGUGUGCUUCGAACUUGCCUCUGUGGCACAUCCCAAUUUCAC
rnacentral:misc_RNA from 1 species